rfam:Herbinix sp. SD1D isolate SD1D genome assembly, chromosome: I
CGGGGUGUGGCUCAGUUUGGCUAGAGUGCUUGAUUUGGGAUCAAGAGGUCGCAGGUUCAAAUCCUGUCACCCCGA